GCUUCCUGCCUGUCCUGGCACCGCGGACCGUGCUGCAUCCUGGAAGCGGCCAGCAGGUCCGGCUCCUAGGCGGAGGUACACAAGCGGCUCUGCGCGACUCUCGCCCACAGGCACCGCCCCCCCAUAUCCCAUUGGCCGGAGUGUGGAGCCGGUGCUCAGGGCGGGGGCAGUGUGUGGAGCCCCGUGCCACCCCUGCCUACGAGCCAGACCUGCUGCUGUCCGCUUCCAGGUGGGGACUACUAGUUUUACUACUAGUUUUUACUGGCUAGCCGCCAGGGUCUCUGGGUGCUGAGCAAGGCGACCCAGUGCCUUGCAUUCCACGACCCAGUACUGGGUCAUGACCUGAACUUUGAAAACUGCUGCUGUAGGGGCCGAUGAGGGGCACGGACAAAGGUAAGGGGAGGCGCAGCUCAGCACCCUCACUCUAAAAACUGGUCCAGCAACACUGAUUAUCCCCAUUCUGAAACUUCCCACUAAAAUUAGCCCCCUACCUACUGCCUCUAAGAGGCAACCCAGACUGAUAUCAUUUAAAUGCCAGUAGGUUGUAAACAAUAGUUUUAUGUACAAUUCAGGUAAUUCCACAUGGUCAGCAUGGCUGACUUCUGUGAUUUCUGUUCAGACUGAAAUGGUAUGAGAACAAUUUCAGAAACCCAGCUCCAUGAAAUGCACAAAAACAAGCUUGUUUCAUAAGCAAACCACAUAAAUCAUGGUGUUUAAAUUAGGGCUAAAUCCUGCAAUCCUUACUCCGCUAAACUCCCAUUAACUGUAUUAUUAUUAAUAUUAUUUCUCUGUAUUGUGGUAGCAAUUAGAAGCGCCUCUCGUGAACCAGGACGCCGUUGUGAUCGAUGCUGUACAAACACAGAACAAAAAGACCAUCCCUGCUCCAAAGAGCUUCCAAUUUAACAUCGGCAAGCAUUUGUCGGAAUACAGACUGAGGGUGAAAUCCUGGUCUCUCACACAAAACCUGAGCAGAAGAUUUUUUUGUGCCUCUUUGGCGAGCACUGCCAACUGAUUGCUAAGCUACCCAUUUUCAUAGGCUUGCAAAUUCUUCACUGUGGCAGCCCAGUCCUCCCAUCCCUUGGAACCUGCAGAAUUCCUUCAACUGGCCUCCAUGCAGAAGGGGCUCGGAGGCUGGGGCUUGGUGGAGGUGAAGCUGGGGACUGCUCAGCCUGUAGCUAUCCUAGAUCCUAGCAGUAGUUAUUGACUUUGCAGUAAAAGUCACUCAAACUUCCAUUAACUCUGAUGAGAGCCAAGAGUUGGGCAAUUUGCAACACUAUCCCCUCAACUGUAGGACUGUUCAUCUCUCAAGGUGGGCUGUCCCAUCUCUACUUUCUGAUGACUGCAAAAACCAAUCAAAACUUUCAACCACUAAAGAACAGUCGGCCGUAUCACGCUUGUGUACUGAGAAUGUAAGUCCACAUGCCCCUUCGGCUUGCUUGGUGGACAGGAACAGAAAGUGAGGGCUCUGGUGGGGCAUGGCAGAGAGAAGAGUUGGCUCCCGUGUGUGCUCUUCCUCCCUCCUGCUCUCAGGAAACCAGUCCAUGGGUUUCAUGUAACACUUUCAGCAAACAGGAAAAGAAUUAUAGGAAGCCUGAGUCUCCACUACCAGGCACUAACAUUGCACUGCACUGGGCACAAGACAGUGGGAAAUUUAGGGCCAUGAUCUUUUGUAUGGACUAUGUCCAGUUUGGGACAAUUUCCUUUCAGACAGACAUGAGACAGCUCAGAAAUAGAGUGAGAAUUAUGUUAUCAUGAGAUGAGCAGUUGCUUCAGCAUUAUCCAAGCAAUAUUUCAUAGCCCCUGCUAAAGAGGGUUUUUAAUGAGUUUGGGUGGCAUUGUAUGUAGAAUGCCUGAAUAUCCGGUACAUCAGAAAGAAAGGCUGAAAGCCCGAGAUUCGAUUCUAUAAGGCUGGAUUCAUUCAAUUAAACAGCUUUACUAAUGCAGAUACAGUUUAGUGGAAGACUUUAUUACAUCCUAAAAAUUGCAGAGCAUUAAAACAAUGACCCUGUCUGUGAACCAAAGUUUGCUUUUAGUUGUGCUAAGCAGCAGAAUUUACGUAUUACAGGCAAGAUUUGGAGAUUAAAACCCCCUCAUAAUUGCAUUAAACAUGCAUAUUCUUUCUGUUCUUCGAAGCAGAGCUGAUUACCUCCAGUAGAGCAAUGUCAGGAGGGAAAUUUGCUAAACGACAUGAUGUCAACAACUUGCAAAGAAAUGAUGUUUCAGGGAAGGAAAUAGUCAUUUGGUUAUUCCUGCAAAAUGCCUCUCUUUAGUAACAAUUAUGCACGCCAAUGCUUGUCUCAUGUUUCUCGCUUUUCCCAUGUCACUCUGGGCUGAUCAAGUCCUGUAUUCUGAUUCAAAUAUUCACCCCAGAAUCCAGCCAGAUAAUCCAGCUGGGUGCAGGAAACUGCUCGGAGGGAAGCUGGUGAGAGGAAUGCUUUCCCCUUUGGCUCUUCAGGAGGAGAGCCACAAAACAACCACUGCUCCAACCUAAUGGCUUGACUCACUGCCACCAUCCUCCUAGUCCUCUCUUCUGACCUCCAGAAGAAUUGGGUUUGGAGAGGGAGGACAAGGACCAGAGACGCCAUGUAGCAGAACAUCCUCUGGCUCUGGCCCUUGCCCAUCUCACAGCAUUCAAAGCCCCAUAUAGGAGCUGGGCUCUGUGCAAGGGGUGUGCAACCUGUGUGAGGCCUCCCAAAUCUUGCAUCUUUCCUGUGCAAGGAACCCAAUCAGGGAUGGGGUUUUAUGUUUGUUUUAUUUGGGGUUUUGGUUUUUUGGGUCGGUAUUUUUGCUGAAACAUAUUAAGAUGAACUCAUAAGAAUGGCCAUACUGGGUCAGACCAAUGGUCCAUUAGGCCAAGUAUCCUGUCUUUGGACAGUGGCCAAUGCCAGGUGCUUCAGAGGGAAUGAACAGAACAGGUAAUCAUCAAGUGAUCCAUCCCCUGUCGCCCAUUCCCAACUUUUGGCAAACAGAGGCUAAGGACACCAUCCUGGUUAAUAGCCAUUGAUGAACCUAUCCUCCAUGAACUUAUCUAGUUCUUUUUAGAACGCUGUUCUAGUUUUGGCCUUCACAACAUCCUGUGGCAAAGAGUUCCACAGGUUGACUGUGUUGUGCGAAGAAAUGCUUCCUUCCUUAUUCACUUUCUCCACACCAGACAUGAUUUUAUAGACCUCUAUCAUAUCCCCCCUUAGUCACCUCCACAUGUGCAUUUGUGAUGACUGCCAUCUUGGCCAACGCCAGGGACUGAACUGGGGAACCUCCAGAGCUAAAAGCAUGAGUGUCUGCAGCUUCAGAGUCUGGCUUUGUAACAGGGCCACAUCCUCUGUGGAUUGAGCACUGAGAGGGAUACGUAACUCACAAUGACCAGUGGCAUAGGAUACAGCAGCUAGGAGGUGUAAUUCCCACCUUGGGUAGAUGUACACAGACUAGCUCUUCUCAAGUUAGCAACUAAAAAUAGCAGCAUGGUCAUGGCAGCAUGGGCAGUAGCUCAGACUAGCCACCCACGUACAGUCCCGCCUGCCCCGCUGGGUACAUGCCCAAGCCGCCGCCCACACUGCGGCUGGUACACUUCUAUUUUUAGCUGCUGGCUCAAGCAGAGCUAGUGCAGAUAUGUUUACCGGAGCUGGGAAUUUUAUCUCCCAGCUGCUGUGUAGCUGUUCUCUCACACAAUCCAUAAAUCCAGCCCUUAGUCACAAUGUUGUCCUUAAAAACUGAGCAUUGAGUUUAGCAGAGCAGACAGCAGAUAUUGCCAUUUGCUUCAGAGGUGUCAGCAAAUGCCUUGCAAUGCCAGAUUCUGGCAUCGUUACUCAUGCUGAGUAGCACCUUCCUUCAUGGGUAGCCCCACUGAAGCUAUAGAGUAAGGACUUAUAAAACCAAACUUAUAAAACCAGGGAUCAGAUUCUGUCCUAUUGACUUCAGUGGGGCUACUUCUGAGAGUCACUCCCACUAAUGCGAGGGAAGAGUUCCUAGUCUGACCCAUUGACUCACAGAGCAAGAUACUACACAACGCAAAUAAGGGGUAACAGAAUCUGGCCCUAAAUAAAGACUUCAGGAUUUGGCUCCUUAUUAGCAGGACCAUCCCCUAUCAGAGCCUGAGAGUUUUAAGUAUCACGUUUGUGGUAUUUUCAGUACAUGGAAUUAAUGGCACUUGUUUUUGUUUCACCAUUGCCUCAGCAAGGCAGCAUUAAAGGAGGAAAUUCUCUUUGGCAGAGCGGGGAGGGAAUUGUCCCCCCUUCCCCCAGUUGUACAGACCUAUGUGGUUAUCAAGUUAUGGGAAAAUCUCUCUGCCAAAACAGGUGUCACUGUUCUAAGUAUACAGCCUCAUUUCCUGAUCGUGUCUUAAUCUGCUAGUUGGUUGUGAAAGUUGAUUUCUUGCACAUUCUUAUAUCAGUGGGAAUUUCUGCCCUUCCCUGACAAGCAUUAUGGGCAGCCUUUGACAUACAGCCCUACAGGACCUAAAUAGGCAGCUAUUCUUUCCCUACACUGAAAGGGAGCUUUGUGCCAAGGAUUCAUUAAACUGCACUGCACAGCCCUUCAUAAAUGGGGCUCAAUAAUGAACAGUCGAUUUAACUGGAAAAGCUGCUGGAGCUGUUAAAUUAAAGGGAAAUAAAGUGCACUUCAGGCUCAGUCUGCCAGAAGAAAAUGUUGACCUAAAAAAUCUUCAUUUUAUUGAACCUCAGCAAACAGUCUAAAAUUUGCAGGAAGUUUAUACUUGCAACAGUUAGAGAAAUUAAAAACCAACGGGUUUGUGUUCGUGUUACUAAAGAAAGUAUUUGACACAAUAAAAUGCUUUACUAAGUUAGCCACGGGGCUGAAGGGCAUAUAUUUAACCUGAGUAGUAGAAAGUGGGUGUAUAUAUUUAUAUAUAUGGGCUUCAUUCCCUAGGUGAUGUAAAACAGUGUAGCUCCAUUAAAGUCAAACAAUCACUUAUAUAUACGCUUUUCUUUUAUUAGUGGAUCAGCUUUUCAGGAUAAGUUAGUGGGGGGUUGUACUGCAGACUUGACAAUAUGCAAGGAGAAAAUUUGUUUUUCUUUUGAGGGACCUGGGUGCCAUUGUCUCAGUUUCCCUGGCCCUUUUGAUCUUGUUUGCCCAUUUCAUGUUUUCCCAGAACAUACUCCUUCCAGAAGAAUAGGGAAAGGGAUGUUUGUGCCCGGGUGACACGAGUGUUUGUAAGCGGCACAUCACAUUUGCGCGAGCCACAUAAAGACAAAGUCUAAACCUGAGUCACUGCCAUGUAGAUGAUCAGAACUCUAUCAAGAAGAGCAUAUAAGGGCUAGGUUUGGACACUAUUGCUCAUGUUGGGCCAGAUUCUGAAACCGAUACUCUGCGUAACUCCCAGAGAUUUUAGUAGGACUGCUCGAGGUGUAAGGGUAAUGUAAAUAAGGAUGUCAGAGAAUUUGGCCCUAUGUCCCAGACUUCCUUUUUUUUUUUUCUUUUAUACAACAAAAAGAAAGUAAAUGGGAAUUAGAAGUGAAAAAGACCUGCUAGGUCAUUGAAGGCAUUUGGCAUUCUUUGCACACCCAAAAUUCCCAUUGGACUCAGGAUGUUCGGGUGUGCAGAGAAUGCAGCCACUUGUAAGUGCAAGAUCAUGUUCUGUGUGUUUUAGUGUUUUGUAAAGUCACCUAGGAUUUAUAGCGCAUGAUCCUGCAGCUCUUACUCAAGGGCAAUUUCCCCUUAAAGCCAAUGGGAGUUUUGCCUGAGUAAAGAAUGUAAGACUGAGCCCAUGCUAGUUUCUAUUGAGGGGAAAUAUUCAGCCUUAUUGGUGAGGAGCAAAAUCCAUAAUUCAAGUGAGGACACAGCUUUGUCCCCUCCUGCACCCUGAGCUACUGCAGUUUUACACCAGUAUGAUUCCUUGAAUUUCAAUAGAAUAACUCCAGCAUAAAACUGGAGUUAUAUAAUGGUGAAUCAGGCUCUCCAUCUUAGUCAUGUGUCUUUCCCUGUCAUCUGAACAGUCAUAUAUCUGUUAGUUCAUGCCCGUAUCAUGUAUUUAGUGCAUGCUUUUAAUUGUCACACUUUCUUAUGUAAGUGAAAUCUAUCUUGGGAAAUUAGAGGGGAAACCUAGAAUAAAAUCAAAAGAAACAUCCAGUAGUAAAGAACGCAUUUCCUGAAAGUUUGUGAGAAAGCAAACCUCAAUUUCAGAAUCUAAAAACUGUGUGUCCUUUUCAUUGGUUUAGUCUGUAGCUGCCUGUUUGUUGUAUGAACUUUUUAUUUGGAAAGCAGGAUUUCCUUUCAGAAGCAUUUAUGUUCACUUCCUGCAUUGUAUUGCAACUUUUGUUUAAAUCCUCUGUCUUUAAGAAACAUUUUAAAGGCCACUUCAAUAGAUUUCCAGCUCUCCGCUUUAAAUUGUUUAGACUUUAAAAAAACCCCAACUAUUUAACAACACAAAAACUCAGGGAACAUAUUGGCUUUAUUUUAUAAAUCUUCCAUUUUGAGUUUGCAUAAUUAUUCAUGGCUUAAUUAUAAAUGGCCUGGUAUAAAUCACAAUGUCACAAAAGUCACAAAACCAUGAAAUUCUGUGUCUGCCAUGAAAAUAGUGCAUUUGAUAACUUUUGUGGGCUGCUUUAUUGAAUUCAGGGCAUCGAUGGCUAGCCAUUGGCUCUCCAUCACCACCAAAGAGAUGCAUAAAAGCACCAUUUGCCUUUAGGAAAAAAGAGUAUUAGAGGCUGGAAUCAUUGUUAUUUUAUCUGGCUGCUUCAUUUUAAUACAGAUUUGUAAAUCCUGCUCCCAGGGCAGCAUUCAGCUGCAGGAUAAAUAUUCAUUAGAAAAAAAUCUAUAAAUAUUUGUAAACAGAUAUGACACUGUUAGUGUUUUUGUAACGUAGGAGAAUUUUUCAUUUUCACCCCCUGGUUCCCCUGUGAAAUUUGCUAUCUUUUGAACAGUUUCAUAGCUUUCCAUGUAAAUGUAUGUGCUGUGAGAUGGAACCCAUUCGCCUUACCUUUGUUGUUUGCAUGUGGCUUAGAUUGUAAAUUUUUUAAUGGGUAGCAAAUAAAAAGGGAUGAUUUUAAAUGAAAAAUCCAA